GGAGCGGGAGCCCCGGGGGCGGCACCGGCACCGGCAGCGGCACCGGCAGCUCCUCCCCCGCCGCCCGGGGCAGCCGCGGGUCGCACGGGAGCGUCAUCAGGCCGGGGGCCGAGUCCCGGGCCGCGGUAAACAGGACACGGAAGGGAAAGCAGGAAGCCUGCUCACCCAGCUCUGGGGGCUGACGCGGGGCGCUCGGGAUGAGCCUGAGAGACAGGAGCGGGACCUUCUCCCUGAGGAAAAAGAGGGCCCCCCGUACCGGUGUUACAUCCUGGGGAGGCCGCGGUAGCGGAAUUACCGAGAAAAAAACCUGCAUCUCCACAUCACGUGCAACCACGGGUGCGUGCACAGGGCACCCAGGGCCUGCAGGGCCUCGCGGCGCAGCGCGGUGGUCACUGCGUGUGCACGGCGGAAGCACAGGGAGUUAAAUCAGUCUCGUUUCCAUCUUUAUCCCAUACCUAAGGAUGGUAGUGGCAGUCAGCGCUGCUAGGAAGAAGGGGUCGAGCUGGAAGGAAGGCUUUGGCUAAGGGUUAGAGCUGAGCACCAGCACACGGAUGCAGUCCACAGACAGCUGCUCACUCCAUCGCAGCUCAUCACUCGCAGCUGAUCUGUUGCCCAAAGGUGAAGGAUGCAACAAUAAGCAGCAAUGUUUGUUUUACUGUAUGGUGCUGGAGGAACUUGGAAUAAAUGUGACAGAUGUGGAGAUAAAGUGUGGAAAUAAUUAAAAAGAUAUAAAAGGGGACACAAAACAGAGGAAACCAUGAGAAAGAAAAAUAGCACUAAAGAAGAACAGAAAGCACAGCCACUCCCAGCCAUCAAACAUUAAAUCUACAAGUAACAGGGGAAAAAUAUUAAGGUCAAGUCUGGUAUGGAGGUUCUAUUCAGAUCGGGACGCUCACAAGAAUCCAAACUACUGAGAAAGAAUUAAGAUGUCAUUAACAGCCAUCUGUUCCUGGUCCUGCUCUCUGUUUCUUCCAUCAAAGAAAUAAUUCCAGGCAUGAAACACCUCAUUGGAGCAACAAUCACCUGAAACCAACAGGGCGCUGCAAUACGAGGGUGGGCCUGGCUUGCAGGGGGCACAGCAACGGAAGAAACUUUAGCACAGAACUUGGUGUCCACUGUAUG